rnacentral:misc_RNA from 1 species
AUUCAAUUAGAAAGUUAUUACCCUUUUUUUUUGUUUAUUCUAAUAUUCGUUUGUGCUAAGGAUUGAAUAUUUUGAGCAGACCCAUGUGCCACUCUAACCUGUUCGGUGAAUUGCUUGAUAGAAAAAAAAAAAAAAAAAAAAAAAAAUAUACAUCUCUCUCUCUCUCUCUCUCUCUCUCUCUCUAUAUAUAUAUAUAUGAAAGCUGCAAUUCAUACCUGAUGCUCAACUAAUCACAUUCACUGGGAGUGUGAAUAAAUUGC